rnacentral:rRNA from 1 species
ACGCAACCUUCCUUUAAGAGAUGAAUAGCCCGGAGAAAUCCGGAUUAAUGCAUCGUAAGAUUGUGGGAUGGCAUCAUCCAGCAAUUAAAGAUUUAUUUCGCUUAAAGAUGGGCGUGCGCCUGAUUAGGUAGUUGGUGAGGUAACGGCUCACCAAGCCGACGAUCAGUAACUGGCGUGAGAGCGCGACCAGUCACACGGGCACUGAGACACGGGCCCGACUCCUACGGGAGGCAGCAGUAAGGAAUAUUGGUCAAUGGACGCAAGUCUGAACCAGCCAUGCCGCGUGAAGGAUGAAAGCCCUCUGGGUUGUAAACUUCUUUUAUCUGGGAAGAAAUCACCUUUUUCUAAGGGUGUUGACGGUACCAGAGGAAUAAGCACCGGCUAACUCCGUGCCAGCAGCCGCGGUAAUACGGAGGGUGCAAGCGUUAUCCGGAUUCACUGGGUUUAAAGGGUGCGUAGGCGGAUUAGUAAGUCCGUGGUGAAAUCUCCAAGCUUAACUUGGAAACUGCCAUGGAUACUAUUAGUCUUGAAUGUUGUGGAGGUUAGCGGAACAUGUCAU